UAUACAAACGGGCCUAAUCUAUUGGAAAACGUCGGGGCCGUUUCGCCGCGAAGAAACCAAGCUCUUCGAAAACCUUCUUCUUCUACUUCUCAUAUAAAAGCAUCUCUCUCUCUCUCUCUCUCUCUCUCUGCGUGUAUCGCUGUCUUUGAUGUGCAAACUUGAAGUUGAACAAGCAUGAUGAAUUCACAGACAGACAAACUGGUGAGAAGGACAACCAUGGUGGCAACUGUCACUGCUUCCUAUUUUCUCUUGACCGCUGACUAUGGCUCAGAACCAAACGCUCUCGAUCCUAUUAAGAAGGCAAUACUGUCAGCACAAAAUUCUGUUAAGGAGUAUGUAUUUGGACCAAAGAAGGAAUCUUAAGAGGGUCAAUUGGGGAAGCUGGGAUCCCGUGGCACCAAGGAGUAUCCUUAGUUAACGGCAGUUCACUUUGUAUAGGGAACUUUAUGGGUUUUAGAGAGGUUUUUACAAGAAUUGUCGAGUAUUUGAAAGUUGUAUGUAAUAUGGAACGUAGUUCUUUUGGCACAUCUUUUAUUUUGUCUCAUGGAUUUCAUAUAUUCGGAUCUCUGGCUGAAACCAAAACUUUACAUCAUGUUGACAUUGCAUGCUAUGGAUUAGAGAGCAUGUACAUUUUGUUGAAGCUUUUUCCUUUUGGGUUAUGCUAUUCUCUAGAGUUAAUGUUAUGAAAAAAUCUACUCAACUUCGGGUCUAUUAUCGCACACCACACGAACCCGGUCUAUGGCCCCACGUCAUGGUUCUUCCCUCUCACCCAUCACUUCCCCAAACUUCCCUAAACCAUCCUCUUCUCCCUCAGACUCUAGCCUUCUUCGUUCCUCACCCCAGCACCCAUCUCUUCUCCCUCACAAAUGCCCAUCUCUUCUCCCUCAACCCGAUCUUACUCUUCCCUCACCCAUCACCCCGACGCCCCUCACCCUAGAAAUGCUAUUUUUCGUCCUCAACGAAGAUCUCAUCUCCCUCACCCCUUCAGUCCCGUUCUGUCUCUCUCACCGAGCCGUCUUUGUAAGGUGCUAACUCCAGCCAUCUCUCUCGCUCUCAAACUCCGAAUGAUGGAUUGAGGUUCUCUUGCAAACUCUAGACAUCACAGACAGACCCAGUUCUGCGAAUCUCUCCAUCGUAGACGUCAAUAACCCAAGUGUUAGGGGGCUCGAUUACGAAGAUGAAGAAUGAAGGGGGAAGAAAGUUGCAGUCUUGGCUGCGGGGAGAGAGAUGAUGCAAGGAAGAAUCUAGAAAUUGGAAUGUCGAAGAGAUGGGAAGGAAGAAACCAGAGAGGAUACAACUAAUUGAACCAUUGCUUUUGCUCUUCUACCAAAGAACAUUUUACGAUUAGAACUAAAAGAAAAACAUAUGAUCUGAGUUUUUUUUUUCUUUCUUUUUUUGGAAUUAAAAGUGGAACAAAAUUGAACUCCAAGUGAAGUUGGUGCCUCGGGCAUUUCCUGUAACACCCGGACC